rnacentral:lncRNA from 1 species
UGUAGCUAGUAAUCUCGAUGGGCCAAGAAUGGCUUUGAGUCCAAGAUGAAAAUACAAGGGAAAGGAAGAGGUUCAGGAUGAAUCUCAUUUCAGUUUUCACUCAAACCACAUCCAUGAGUCUUGCCUGAGCCAACAAACUCCGUCGCGCCGGAAAUUGCCUCAGGCGGCGGCGGAGGUCCAAACCUACAAAAACUUAUGUCAAAAUGCUCAGCGUAAUCUCUUCUCUCACAAUCUCAACUAUUUUCAUCACAUCCUCCUCCAUGAUCCGAAUCAAAGUCAAAGAAGGAAGAACCCUAGAACUGAAAAUCAAAAUUAAAUGACGAGUAUGAAGAAAUUGGAAACCAAACCUUAAGAGUUUGGCUCCCUAGAGCUCAAGCUACAUCGUGUCAACAAAAAUGCGAACGAAAAUGAUGGAUUCAAGAGCAACUGACCUACGAAGAGGAUCACUCGUUGAAUCUCAAGGUCGAUGCAAAUGGAUCAAGAAAAUACCAGAGGCACAAUAGGUAAUUCACCGAGCUUCCACUUCUCAAUUGUGGCACGAUCCUCUUCUUCUUCUUCUUCCAAUAUGUUAUAGUAUGUAGGUUCGAAUUAGAAGAUUGUUGCGUGAUUGAUGCUUUGUAUAUUGUUGAAUAUGUGUAGUAAGUGAUGGAGAGUGAGAGGUUCAGAGAAAAAUCAAAACCAUAGAGUGAUGCAAAUUCUCAGAGAUUGAAGAUGAUGAUGUGGUAUUUCGAAGGAGCAAUUGUAAGGGUGUGGAAGGUGAAUAUGGAGAGAGAAAUCUCAGAAACUAAACGAGAGUGAGAGAGUAGUGAUUGUGGAAAAUGAUGUUUUUCUUCUUUUUUUACAAUGAUUGGUGAGAGGGGUUGAUUUAGAGAGGGGGGAGAGUGUAACUACUUCGAGCAGUCAUGGAAACCGUUUGGGCAAGGUAACUCUGUUAAUCCUCAUGAAUAAAAGUGUUAGAAGUUAUUGACUCUGUUAGCCUCUGUUAAGAAUCAGUUAAUUUUAGUUAACUAAACAGUUAGGGACUUUAAAAUCUGUUAGUUUCUAUUAAGUUCUGUUUGUGAAUAACCGUUGUAGUUAGUUUGUUAGUUCAAUGAAUGGAGUUAGAGAAUAGUUUGAAAGUGUUAUUGAGUUAGUGACUAGCAAUGGUUAUUAGAUUGCAUUUGAGUGCUAAAAUGUGACUGUUAGAUACUCAUUGAAUCUAUUGUUGGGUUAGUUCUAAUUAUUGGAUUGAACUAAUUGUUAAUGAAUUGUGUUUUCCAGAAUUGACUUGUUUGAUUUGGUGCAGAGAAACCGUGAUGAAAAUUAACUGAAAUUGACAUGUUAAUAGUUAGCUAUGAAGUGAUUAAGUGUUAGAAACUUAGUUAGAAUGUUAGAGUGACUUUAGAGUUAGUUAUUAGUUCAAUUAUAUUGAAAGGUUAGUGUGUUAGCUUGGAUUUGUUAGUUGAAUUUGAAAUUAGUAUUAAACUGUUAAGAAAUUAGUUAUUAAAAGGGACUUAGCAUGCUGAACUUUGUUGUAUCGUAUUGCUUGUUAGUGGUUUCAAUUAUUGAUUGUUUGGAAUUGGAUCACCAAGUUAGGAUAGUAUGAACUUCUGUGUGAAUUGGUUCCAUUUGUCUUACUAACUGAACUUGAAUGAAUGAAUGGAUUUGAACUGAAGUUAUUGCAUUGCUUGGCCUUUGGUUAUAAAUUGUUAAGAAAAUUUAAUUUGGCUAAACAUGUUAGAAAUGGUCCAAUUCUAUAGGAAAUUAGAUGACUGCUAGUAGUUUGUUUAAUGAAAUUGUGGUUGUUGGUGUUAUAGAAGAGCUUUUUGAUAUUGUUUGAUCCCUAUGUAAUCUGUAACUCUCAGGGGAUGUUGGAUCUAGUUGAGAUUCCAAACUUGAUGUGGGAAAUCUAGAAGACUUGUAUGUGGUAAGGGCCUCUUGAAAACUCAACCUUUGCAAUACCUUGAUUGAUAGCUACCCUGCUCGGCUUGGCCAAAAUUGUCAUAAGGCAACUCAUGCAGUUUAAGUAAAGCCUAGUAAUAGAACUGUUAGAGACUAUGUUGGUUAAUUAUAUUGAAUUGAAUUUUGCUGCAUUUAGUGGUUAGAAUGCUAAGAAUGAAGAUGUUAGCUAAGCAAUUAUGCAGGCUAUGAUCUUAAUUUGUCCAUGUGAAAUAAAGUUUUAUCAUUGCUAGCAGCUUUUGGAUAUGUUGGGUUUCUCUAUGUGUGGCUGCCAUGGUUUAUAUAUGCAUGUUAAUGAUUAGUUGAUGCUUGGUGAGUCCGAAUCUAUUUGUAUUGAUAUGAAUGCUUUUGAUGGAUUGCAGGCUGCCAUGAUUCAGGAAGCAAUAUUCAAUAAGUUCACCCUAGUUUGGGAUGGCAUCAUGGCUAGCAUGGAACAAAUCGAAUCUUAGUGAAUAACUUUAAAGACUUUGAUGCACAAAGGAGGAAUGCCUUGCAAUUGAAUGAAGGAAAUAAGAUUAGAGUUUUCUUGGGGUUUAGUGGUUGACCUUGGUCAACUGGCUGACCAAAAAAUCAAUAAUUGACCAAAGUCAACUGUAGGUCGAAAGUGUAUUAUUUUGUGUAAAGUCUUGGAUUUUGUGUGAUGUAAUGUAAUUGGAUAUUUGGAAAUGAAAAUGGAUUUUUGAAUGGAUUGAACAAUGACAUGUGUUUCAAGAAAGUGGUCUCCCUCCAAAACAUAAAUUUGAAAUUGAUCUUGUCUUGCAUGAA